GAUAAAGUUGUCUAGGGUUCCGAUGUGUCCGUAUGGAGACAUGACUGGUCCGAGAGAUAACGGUUCGAUAGAACUACACGGAGGGAUAAAAGCCCGGGAGGA
rnacentral:sRNA from 2 species